GAUGAACGCUGGCGGCGUGCCUAAUACAUGCAAGUCGAGCGAACAGACGAGGAGCUUGCUCCUCUGACGUUAGCGGCGGACGGGUGAGUAACACGUGGAUAACCUACCUAUAAGACUGGGAUAACUUCGGGAAACCGGAGCUAAUACCGGAUAAUAUAUUGAACCGCAUGGUUCAAUAGUGAAAGACGGUUUUGCUGUCACUUAUAGAUGGAUCCGCGCCGCAUUAGCUAGUUGGUAAGGUAACGGCUUACCAAGGCGACGAUGCGUAGCCGACCUGAGAGGGUGAUCGGCCACACUGGAACUGAGACACGGUCCAGACUCCUACGGGGGGCAGCAGUAGGGAAUCUUCCGCAAUGGGCGAAAGCCUGACGGAGCAACGCCGCGUGAGUGAUGAAGGUCUUCGGAUCGUAAACCUCUGUUAUUCGGGAAGAACAAAUGUGUAAGUAACUAUGCACGUCUUGACGGUACCUAAUCAGAAAGCCACGGCUAACUACGUG
rnacentral:rRNA from 1 species